rnacentral:rRNA from 1 species
ACAUUCAAAGAGUGCGUAACAGCUCACUGGUCGAGUGAUUCCGCGCCGAAAAUUUAACGGGGCUAAACGUACAACCGAAGCUUGGGCUGCAUCGAAAGAUGCGGGGUAGGGGAGCGUCGUGUAACGGGGUGAAGCAUGAGCGUAAGCGCGUGUGGACUUUACACGAGUGAGAAUGCCGGAAUGAGUAGCGCGAUUUAUGUGAGAAUCAUAAAGGCCGAAAGCCUAAGGUUUCUGGAGGAAGGUUCGUCCGCUCCAGGUUAGCCGGGAGCUAAGGUGAGGCGGAAACGCGUAGCCGAUGCACAUACGGUGGAGAUUCCGUAGCUGUCGAAGGAUUUAAGCAGGGGGACACUGAAGAAGGCUUCAACCCAGGCGUUGGUAGACCUGGGCGAAAGGGACCGAAAAUAGAGUAGGGAAGUGAAGUUGGAAUCAGGCGAGAAAAGCCCUGUGUAUAUCUGAGACACCCGUACCGCAAACCGACACAGGUAGGUAGGAAGAGGAUUCUAAGGCCAACGGGAGAAGGGUUGUUAAGGAACUCGGCAAGUUGACCCCGUAACUUCGGAAUAAGGGGUGCUCAACGGAAGUUGAGCCGCAGAGAAUAGGUCCAGGCAACUGUUUAGCAAAAACACAGCUCUAUGCUAAAUCGCAAGAUGAUGUAUAUGGGGUGACGCCUGCCCGGUGCUGGAAGGUUAAGAGGAGGAGUGAGAGCUUCGAAUCGAAGCCCCAGUAAACGGCGGCCGUAACUAUAACGGUCCUAAGGUAGCGAAAUUCCUUGUCAGGUAAGUUCUGACCCGCACGAAUGGCGUAAUGAUCUGGACACUGUCUCAACAGCCCACCCGGCGAAAUUGUAGUACCGGUGAAGAUGCCGGUUACCCGCGACAAGACGGAAAGACCCCAUGGAGCUUUACUGCAGCCUAAUAUUGGAUUUCGGUAUCUCAUGUACAGAAUAGGUGGGAGGCUGGGAAACAGGGGCGUCAGCUUCUGCGGAGCCACCGUUGGGAUACCACUCUUGAGGUACUGGAAUUCUAACCUGCGGCCAUGAAUCUGGUCGGGGGACAUUGUUAGGCGGGCAGUUUGACUGGGGCGGUCGCCUCCAAAAGAGUAACGGAGGCGCUCAAAGGUUCGUUCAGCACGGACGGAAAUCGUGCAUUGAGUGUAAACGCAUAAACGAGCCUAACUGCGAGACCGACGGGUCGAGCAGUAACGAAAGUUGGAGUUAGUGAUCCGGUGGUAUGUGAGUGGAAAUGCCAUCGCUCAACGGAUAAAAGCUACCCUGGGGAUAACAGGCUGAUCUCCCCCAAGAGUCCACAUCGUCGGGGAGGUUUGGCACCUCGAUGUCGGCUCAUCGCAUCCUGGGGCUGUAUUCGGUCCCAAGGGUUUGGCUGUUCGCCAAUUAAAGCGGUACGCGAGCUGGGUUCAGAACGUCGUGAGACAGUUCGGUCCCUAUCUGUCGUGGGCGCAGGAUAUUUGAGUGGAGCUGUCCCUAGUACGAGAGGACCGGGAUGGACGUACCUCUGGUGCACCAGUUGUCGUGCCAACGGCACAGCUGGGCAGCUAAGUGCGGAUCGGAUAAACGCUGAAGGCAUCUAAGCGUGAAACCGGCCACAAGAUAAGAUAUCCCACUAGGUUAACUAGGUAAGACCCCUUGAAGACUACAAGGUAGAUAGGCACGAAGUGAAAGCGUUGUGAGGCGUUUAGCUAGCGUGUACUAAUCGGUCGAGGGCUUGACCA